UACGAAGGGGGCUAGCGUUGUUCGGAAUUACUGGGCGUAAAGCGCACGUAGGCGGCGACUCAAGUCAGAGGUGAAAGCCCGGGGCUCAACCCCGGAACUGCCUUUGAAACUAGGUUGCUAGAAUCUUGGAGAGGUCAGUGGAAUUCCGAGUGUAGAGGUGAAAUUCGUAGAUAUUCGGAAGAACACCAGUGGCGAAGGCGACUGACUGGACAAGUAUUGACGCUGAGGUGCGAAAGCGUGGGGAGCAAACAGGG
rnacentral:rRNA from 1 species